rnacentral:rRNA from 1 species
AGUGAACGCUGGCGGCGUGCCUAAUACAUGCAAGUCGAACGAGCGGCGGACGGGUGAGUAAUGUCUGGGAAACUGCCUGAUGGAGGGGGCUAACUACUGGAAACGGUAGCUAAUACCGCAUACCAUCAGAUGUGCCCAGAUGGGAUUAGCUAGUGGGUGGGGUAACGGCUCACCUAGGCGACGAUCCCUAGCUGGUCUGAGAGGAUGACCAGCCACACUGGAACUGGGACACGGUCCAGACUCCUACGGGAGGCAGCAGUGGGGAAUAUUGCACAAUGGGCGAAAGCCUGAUGCAGCCAUGCCGCGUGUGUGAAGAAGGCCUUCGGGUUGUAAAGCACUUUCGGCGGGGAGGCGUUACCCGCAGAAGAAGCACCGGCUAACUCCGUGCCAGCAGCCGCGGUAAUAC